CCUUCAAUUUUUUUAUAUUUUAUUUUUCAAUUGACUUAACAGUUAUCAAAACAUUUCAAAUGCCAGGUCAUUUUGUUGUAUGGAAUUGUAAGAAGACAUCUCGAGAAGAUGGUUAAACCUUUUUGCAACACCAGCAUGGAGCUGACGGCAGAGAGGCUACUGGAGAGGAGGUGAAGUGGUACGAGCUCCUGAUGCCGCUCCUCCAACCAGAGAUGCAGAUGGACGUCCUGGACAACUAUCAAAAUCAUUCACCACCAUCUCUACAAGCAGUACAUGAACCGUCAGUGAACAGUCUCUGAGUGGCCUGUCCAUCAUCUGCAUGCUCCCACUCCACCAGCGCAGUCACCAAACUCUGUGGAAACCAAUAUUUACCGCUCACUUAUUGGCCGAAAAAGCAGAGGCGCGUAUCCUGCGCUCAACUCCCUCCUCGUGUAUCGUCGUAGUGGCCAACCCUUGGACGUCCGUCUCCCCGCCAGUCGCAGCGUUGCUCCACUCGCCGACGCCAUCUGACUCUUCUUUGCUGGCUGCGGGGACUCAUGGCUUGGACUGGUGGCCGUCCCUCUGGUUCUUUGUGU